rnacentral:lncRNA from 12 species
GAGAGUCUUUGUUUUCCUGGAGUGUGUUGUAUGAAUACCUUUGGAUCUUAUGCAUGUGGAAUUUGCCCCACUGGGAUGGAGGGAAAUGGUAAAACUUGCAAACAUGUGCUUGCUGCUGACGUUACAGAAGCUUUAAGCAAUGGCAAAGGUGAAUUGAACAGGACUAAGGUUAAGCAGCCACUGCAAUCCUUAGAGGCAAAGGAUUCUCCUGUAAUUAAGAAUUUUAACAUAAGUGAUGGGCACGGCCAGCCAAUCCCUAAGCAGAACUUGCCUCUUGCAGGUAUCCUGUAUCAUGAUACUGUAGGUAAAAUUGAAGAAUAAUGCAGAAAAUACUUGAGAAUCAUGAUGGAGACCUCACUGGAAG